AUGGGGCGGCGGUACGCAGCGAAGGGGAAGAAGAAGAGGAAGCUCGAAGAUGGCGUGGCCUCCCGUGCCGACGACGCGCAGGAGUUACCGCCACCGGAGGGCGACGAAGGGAAGGGAGAGGAGGAUGCGACGGAGGGGGACGAGACCGUGGAGGUAGCGGAGGGGAUUCCCGUCCUGCCCCGGCCAGUAGAUGGGAGGAAGCGGCCCAGGGCGAUCUUCGUGCUCGAGAGGGCCUGCCUGGAGGUCGGCAAAGUCGGCAAGACUAUGCAAAUCUUGAACUCGGACAAUCAUGCGAAUUAUUUGAGGAAGCAUAAUCGGAAUCCUGCUGAUUAUAGGCCUGAUAUCAUUUACCAGGCUCUAUUGGCAAUAUUUGAUAGCCCUCUAACUAAGGCUGGGAGGUUACAAGCUGUUUAUGUUAGGACAGAAAAGGGGGUGUUGUUUGAGGUCAAGCCGAAUGUUCUCUUGCCACGCACAUGCAAACGUUUUUGUGGCUUGAUGUCACAGUUAUUGCAAAAAUUGAGCAUUACUGCAGUUGGGAGGCGUGAGAAGCUCCUUAAUGUUAUUAAAAAUCCUGUUACUCAGUAUCUGCCUGUUGGCUCAAAGAAGAUUGGCCUUUCAUAUAGUGCGGAUAAGUCAGUUAAACUGAAUGACUAUGUUGCCGAAUCCAGUGAUGAUGAAGCCCUUGUGUUUGUGGUUGGUGCCAUGGCUCAUGGAAAGAUUGACAGUGCAUAUACAGAUGAUUACAUACAGAUUUCCAGCUACCCGCUCAGUGCUGCCUGCUGUUUAGGUAAAAUAUGCACCGCUCUGGAGCAGAAGUGGGACAUCCAGUGA
rnacentral:rRNA from 1 species